GAUGAACGCUGGCUGCGUGCCUAAUACAUGCAAGUCGAGCGAACGGACGAGAAGCUUGCUUCUCUGAUGUUAGCGGCGGACGGGUGAGUAACACGUGGAUAACCUACCUAUAAGACUGGGAUAACUUCGGGAAACCGGAGCUAAUACCGGAUAAUAUUUUGAACCGCAUGGUUCAAAAGUGAAAGACGGUCUUGCUGUCACUUAUAGAUGGAUCCGCGCUGCAUUAGCUAGUUGGUAAGGUAACGGCUUACCAAGGCAACGAUGCAUAGCCGACCUGAGAGGGUGAUCGGCCACACUGGAACUGAGACACGGUCCAGACUCCUACGGGAGGCAGCAGUAGGGAAUCUUCCGCAAUGGGCGAAAGCCUGACGGAGCAACGCCGCGUGAGUGAUGAAGGUCUUCGGAUCGUAAAACUCUGUUAUUAGGGAAGAACAUAUGUGUAAGUAACUGUGCACAUCUUGACGGUACCUAAUCAGAAAGCCACGGCUAACUACGUGCCAGCAGCCGCGGUAAUACGUAGGUGGCAAGCGUUAUCCGGAAUUAUUGGGCGUAAAGCGCGCGUAGGCGGUUUUUUAAGUCUGAUGUGAAAGCCCACGGCUCAACCGUGGAGGGUCAUUGGAAACUGGAAAACUUGAGUGCAGAAGAGGAAAGUGGAAUUCCAUGUGUAGCGGUGAAAUGCGCAGAGAUAUGGAGGAACACCAGUGGCGAAGGCGACUUUCUGGUCUGUAACUGACGCUGAUGUGCGAAAGCGUGGGGAUCAAACAGGAUUAGAUACCCUGGUAGUCCACGCCGUAAACGAUGAGUGCUAAGUGUUAGGGGGUUUCCGCCCCUUAGUGCUGCAGCUAACGCAUUAAGCACUCCGCCUGGGGAGUACGACCGCAAGGUUGAAACUCAAAGGAAUUGACGGGGACCCGCACAAGCGGUGGAGCAUGUGGUUUAAUUCGAAGCAACGCGAAGAACCUUACCAAAUCUUGACAUCCUUUGACAACUCUAGAGAUAGAGCUUUCCCCUUCGGGGGACAAAGUGACAGGUGGUGCAUGGUUGUCGUCAGCUCGUGUCGUGAGAUGUUGGGUUAAGUCCCGCAACGAGCGCAACCCUUAAGCUUAGUUGCCAUCAUUAAGUUGGGCACUCUAAGUUGACUGCCGGUGACAAACCGGAGGAAGGUGGGGAUGACGUCAAAUCAUCAUGCCCCUUAUGAUUUGGGCUACACACGUGCUACAAUGGACAAUACAAAGGGCAGCGAAACCGCGAGGUCAAGCAAAUCCCAUAAAGUUGUUCUCAGUUCGGAUUGUAGUCUGCAACUCGACUACAUGAAGCUGGAAUCGCUAGUAAUCGUAGAUCAGCAUGCUACGGUGAAUAUGUUCCCGGGUCU
rnacentral:rRNA from 1 species